rnacentral:rRNA from 1 species
UCAGGGGGAGUAAGCGAUGGAAACGUACGUCUAAUACGCAUAACAACUUAAGAGGCAUCUCUUGAGUUGAAAGUUCGAUGGAUACGGAUUGGCUCGCGAGACAUUAGCCAGUUGGCGGGGUAACGGCCCACCAAAGCGACGAUGUCUAGGGGUUCGUGAGAGGAAGGUACCCCCGACCCACUGGAACGUAGAGACACGGUCCACGGACUCCUACGGGAGGCAGCAGUGAGGAAUAUUGGACAAUGGUCGGAAGACUGAUCCAGCCAUGCCGCGUGAAGGUAGAAGGUCCUUAAUGGAUUGUAAACUUCUUUUGUACGAGAGCAAUAAGUGUCACGUGUGACACGAUGAGAGUAUCGUACGAAUAAGCAUCGGCUAACUCCGUGCCAGCAGCAGC